rnacentral:lncRNA from 1 species
AAUUUUUAAAUUUUGUGGUUGUUGGGAUCUCUGAAAAUGAAUUGAAGAAUUAGUGAUUCGUAAUAGAAAAAAAAAUUAAAUUGCAUGUGUGGAUUUUGUAGUUCAUACAACAGGAGCUUGAGACUGAACUCAAUGAAGGAGCCAUGGUAACAAAAUGAGGGACAAGAUUGAAGAGAUGAAGUGGUGAAAUCAAAAGGUUGAAGAAAGUGAAAUUGGGGUGUUGUCGACUUGUCGUGUUGAUGAAUUGGGAAUUUUUUUUUUAAUAAAUGAAAUGAGAUUUUUUUAACCAACACAGGGAUAAUUAAAAAAUAAAAAAUAAUAAUU